GAUCCUGGCUCAGGAUGAACGCUGGCGGCGUGCCUAACACAUGCAAGUCGAGCGAUUCUCUUCGGAGAAGAGCGGCGGACGGGUGAGUAACGCGUGGGUAACCUGCCUCAUACACAUGGAUAACAUACCGAAAGGUAUGCUAAUACAAGAUAAUAUAAGAGAUUCGCAUGGAUUUCUUAUCAAAGCUCCGGCGGUAUGAGAUGGACCCGCGUCUGAUUAGCUAGUUGGUAAGG
rnacentral:rRNA from 1 species